GGAAUUUAAAGUCAAAUGAAAUUACCAGUAACUAGAAGAAUAUAUAAAAAUUUAUGAACUAGACUAAGUUAAAGAACCACAUUCACAUCUCUAAAUUAUAAGAAAACAACAAUUAAUGGAGAAAAAUACUUAAUAAACUCAUUUAGAAUUGGCUAGAAUAAGUGAACAUGAUAAUGAAAAUUGUCACUGUUAUUGACAUAACCAUCACCCUUAUUUUAACUAAAC
rnacentral:misc_RNA from 1 species